rnacentral:tRNA from 1 species
GCGCUCUUAGCUCAAUCGGUAGAGCAGGUCCCUCUUAAGGACAAGGUUGAAGGUUCGAGUCCUUCAGGGCGCACCA